rnacentral:rRNA from 1 species
UACGUAGGGUGCAAGCGUUGUCCGGAAUUAUUGGGCGUAAAGAGCUUGUAGGCGGUUUGUCGCGUCUGCUGUGAAAUUUCGGGGCUCAACCCCGAACUUGCAGUGGAGUACGGGCAGACUAGAGUGUGGUAGGGGAGACUGGAAUUCCUGGUGUAGCGGUGAAAUGCGCAGAUAUCAGGAGGAACACCGAUGGCGAAGGCAGGUCUCUGGGCCAUAACUGACGCUGAGAAGCGAAAGCAUGGGGAGCGAACAGG